rnacentral:ncRNA from 2 species
CACGUGCUCCGGGGUCGGUGAAAGUCCGAGCCGGCGGUGACAGUCCGCGACCCGCACGGUCCUCACGGACCGGGCGGUUGACCUGGUGGAACUCCAGGACCGACGGUGAAAGUCCGGAUGGGAGGAACACGUG